rnacentral:rRNA from 1 species
GCAGUCGAGCGGACGGAUGGGAGCUUGCUCCCUGAAGUCAGCGGCGGACGGGUGAGUAACACGUGGGCAACCUGCCUGUAAGACUGGGAUAACUUCGGGAAACCGGAGCUAAUACCGGAUAAUGCAUUUCCCCUCAUGGGGAUAUGCUGAAAGAUGGUUUCGGCUAUCACUUACAGAUGGGCCCGCGGCGCAUUAGCUAGUUGGUGAGGUAACGGCUCACCAAGGCAACGAUGCGUAGCCGACCUGAGAGGGUGAUCGGCCACACUGGGACUGAGACACGGCCCAGACUCCUACGGGAGGCAGCAGUAGGGAAUCUUCCGCAAUGGACGAAAGUCUGACGGAGCAACGCCGCGUGAGUGAUGAAGGUUUUCGGAUCGUAAAACUCUGUUGUCAGGGAAGAACAAGUGCCGGAGUAACUGCCGGCACCUUGACGGUACCUGACCAGAAAGCCACGGCUAACUACGUGCCAGCAGCCGCGGUAAUACGUAGGUGGCAAGCGUUGUCCGGAAUUAUUGNGCGUAAAGCGCGCGCAGGCGGUCUCUUAAGUCUGAUGUGAAAGCCCACGGCUCAACCGUGGAGGGUCAUUGGAAA